rnacentral:rRNA from 1 species
ACUACGGGCGGCAGCAGUGGGGGAUAUUGCACAAUGGGGGGAACCCUGAUGCAGCGACGCCGCGUGGGUGAAGAAGCGCCUCGGCGCGUAAAGCCCUGUCAGCAGGGAAGAAAAUGACGGUACCUGAAGAAGAAGCCCCGGCUAACUACGUGCCAGCAGCCGCGGUAAUACGUAGGGGGCAAGCGUUAUCCGGAUUUACUGGGUGUAAAGGGGGCGCAGACGGCGAUGCAAGCCAGGAGUGACAGCCCGGGGCCCAACCCCGGGACUGCUCUUGGAACUGCGUGGCUGGAGUGCAGGAGGGGCAGGCGGAAUUCCUGGUGUAGCGGUGAAAUGCGUAGAUAGCAGGAGGAACACCGGUGGCGAAGGCGGCCUGCUGGACUGCAACUGACGUUGAGGCCCGAAAGCGUGGGGAGCAAACAGGAUUAGAUACCCCUGUAGUC